GGACGGUUAGCUCAGUUGGUAGAGCGCAUUCUUGACGUGAAUGAAGUCAGAGGUUCGAGUCCUCUACCGUCCACCA
rnacentral:tRNA from 5 species